rnacentral:ncRNA from 2 species
UGUAACAUAGGAGAUGGCAUUUUCCUGUGGUUCUCCCGCUAAUCGCUCCUCGAUGAGCCGAUGAUACCUACCCACAC